rnacentral:rRNA from 1 species
UACGUAGGGUGCAAGCGUUGUCCGGAAUCAUUGGGCGUAAAGCGCGCGUAGGCGGCCAAAUAAGUCCGGUGUGAAAGUCACAGGCUCAACCUGUGAAUGCCGCUGGAAACUGUUUGGCUUGAGUCCGGAAGGGGCGAGUGGAAUUCCUGGUGUAGGCGGUGAAAUGCGCAGAUAUCAGGAGGGAACACCAGUGGCGAAGGCGGGUCUCUGGACAGUUCCUACGUGAGGCACGAAGGGCCAGGGG